CCUACGGGAGGCAGCAGUAAGGGAUAUUGCACAAUGGACGGAAGUCUGAUGCAGCGACGCCGCGUGGGUGAAGAAGGUUUUCGGGAUCGUAAAGCCCUUUUCUAUGUGACGAGAGAGGACGGUAGCAUAGGAAUAAGUGUCGGCUAACUACGUGCCAGCAGCCGCGGUAAAACGUAGGACGCGGACGUUAUCCGGGAGUUACUGGGCGUAAAGCGCGCGUAGGCGGUUGGUUAAGUUACCUAUGAAAGAUACAGGCUAAACUUGUAUUGGUUUAGGUGAAACUGGGCUAACUAGAGAAAAUAGAGGGAAGUAGAAUUCCGGGUGUAGUGGUGAAAUGCGUAGAUAUCCGGAGGAAUACCGGUGGCGAAGGCGGCUUCCUGGAUUUCCACUGACGCUGAUGCGCGAAAGCGUGGGUAGCGAACGGGAUUAAAACCCCGGCAGUCCACGCCGUAAACGAUGUACAUUAGGCGUUCGGUUACGCAAGUAAUUAGUGUCGCCAAACGCGAUAAAUGUACCGCCUGGGUCGGUCGCAGGCUAAAACUCAAAGGAAUUGACGG
rnacentral:rRNA from 1 species